GUACCUACGGGGCGCAGCAGUGGGGAAUAUUGCACAAUGGGGGAAACCCUGAUGCAGCGACGCCGCGUGAGCGAAGAAGUAUUUCGGGAUGUAAAGCUCUAUCAGCAGGGAAGAAAAUGACGGUACCUGACUAAGAAGCUCCGGCUAAAUACGUGCCAGCAGCCGCGGUAAUACGUAUGGAGCAAGCGUUAUCCGGAUUUACUGGGUGUAAAGGGAGCGCAGGCGGCAUGGCAAGUCUGGUGUGAAAGGCCGGGGCUCAACCCCGGGACUGCAUUGGAAACGGCCAGGCUGGAGUG
rnacentral:rRNA from 1 species